CGUGGGUAACCUGCCCAAGAGAUCGGGAUAACACCUGGAAACAGAUGCUAAUACCGGAUAACAACAGAUGAUGCCUAUCAACUGUUUAAAAGAUGGUUCUGCUAUCACUCUUGGAUGGACCUGCGGUGCAUUAGCUAGUUGGUAGGGUAACGGCCUACCAAGGCGAUGAUGCAUAGCCGAGUUGAGAGACUGAUCGGCCACAUUGGGACUGAUACACGGCCCAAACUCCUACGGGAGGCAGCAGGG
rnacentral:rRNA from 1 species